UGGGGGAUAUUGCACAAUGGGCGAAAGCCUGAUGCAGCGACGCCGCGUGGGGGAUGAAGGCCUUCGGGUUGUAAACUUCUUUUGCUCUGAACAAGGCAUGCUAAUGGGUGUGUUGAGUGUAGGGGUUGAUUAGCGCCGGCUAACUACGUGCCAGCAGCCGCGGUAAUACGUAGGGCGCGAGCGUUGUCCGGAAUUAUUGGGCGUAAAGGGCUUGUAGGUGGCUGGGUGCGUCUGUCGUGAAAGCUCAUGGCUUAACUGUGGGUUUGCGGUGGGUACGGGCUGGCUUGAGUGCAGUAGGGGAGGCUGGAAUUCCUGGUGUAGCGGUGGAAUGCGCAGAUAUCAGGAGGAAUACCGGUGGCGAAGGCGGGUCUCUGGGCUGUUACUGACACUGAGGAGCGAAAGCAUGGGGAGCGAACAGG
rnacentral:rRNA from 1 species